rnacentral:rRNA from 1 species
UACGGGGGGGGCAAGCGUUGUUCGGAAUUACUGGGCGUAAAGGGCUCGUAGGCGGCCAACUAAGUCAGACGUGAAAUCCCUCGGCUUAACCGGGGAACUGCGUCUGAUACUGGAUGGCUAGAGGUUGGGAGAGGGAUGCGGAAUUCCAGGUGUAGCGGUGAAAUGCGUAGAUAUCUGGAGGAACACCGGUGGCGAAGGCGGCAUCCUGGACCAAUUCUGACGCUGAGGAGCGAAAGCUCGAGGGAGCAAAGCGGG